AUCUGCCGUGGGCGUUGGAUAUUUGAAGGGGGCUGCUCCUAGUACGAGAGGACCGGAGUGGACGAACCUCUGGUGUACCGGUUGUCACGCCAGUGGCAUCGCCGGGUAGCUAUGUUCGGAAGAGAUAACCGCUGAAAGCAUCUAAGCGGGAAACUCGCCUUAAGAUGAGAUAUCCCUGGGGACUAGAUCCCCUUGAAGGGUCGUUCGAGACCAGGACGUUGAUAGGUCAGGUGUGUAAGCGCAGUAAUGCGUUCAGCUAACUGAUACUAAUUGCCCGUAAGGCUUGAUCCUAUAACA
rnacentral:rRNA from 1 species